rnacentral:rRNA from 1 species
AGCAGCCGCGGUAAUUCCAGCUCCAAUAGCGUAUAUUAAAGUUGUUGCAGUUAAAAAGCUCGUAGUUGAGUUUCGGGGUUCUACCGUUGGUCGGGCAAUUGUCUGUACUGGCGUGUGGAAUUUCUACCUUCUGGGGAACCAUCAUGUUAUUUAUUUAGCGUGGUGGGAAACCAGGACCUUUACCUUGAAAAAAUUAGAGUGUUCAAAGCAGGCUUACGUCUGAAUACAUUAGCAUGGAAUAAUAAAAUAGGACGGUGGUCCUGUUUUGUUGGUUUCUGAAUCACCGUAAUGAUUAAUAGGGAUAGUUGGGGGCAUUAGUAUUCAAUUGUCAGAGGUGAAAUUCUUGGAUUUAUUGAAGACUAACUUCUGCGAAAGCAUUUGCCAAGGAUGUUUUCAUUAAUCAAGACGAAAGUUAGGGGAUCGAAGACGAUCAGAUACCGUCGUAGUCUUAACCAUAAACUAUGCCGACUAGGGAUCGGACGAUGUUAAUUUUUCUUGACUCGUUCGGCGCCUUACGGGA